AACAGGAUUAGAUACCCUGGUAGUCCACGCUGUAAACGAUGUCGACUUGGAGGUUGUGCCCUUGAGGCGUGGCUUCCGGAGCUAACGCGUUAAGUCGACCGCCUGGGGAGUACGGCCGCAAGGUUAAAACUCAAAUGAAUUGACGGGGGCCCGCACAAGCGGUGGAGCAUGUGGUUUAAUUCGAUGCAACGCGAAGAACCUUACCUACUCUUGACAUCCAGAGAAUUUGCUAGAGAUAGCUUAGUGCCUUCGGGAACUCUGAGACAGGUGCUGCAUGGCUGUCGUCAGCUCGUGUUGUGAAAUGUUGGGUUAAGUCCCGCAACGAGCGCAACCCUUAUCCUUUGUUGCCAGCACGUAAUGGUGGGAACUCAAAGGAGACUGCCGGUGAUAAACCGGAGGAAGGUGGGGAUGACGUCAAGUCAUCAUGGCCCUUACGAGUAGGGCUACACACGUGCUACAAUGGCAUAUACAAAGAGAAGCGAACUCGCGAGAGCAAGCGGACCUCAUAAAGUAUGUCGUAGUCCGGAUUGGAGUCCGCAACUCGACUCCAUGAAGUCGGAAUCGCUAGUAAUCGUAGAUCAGAAUGCUACGGUGAAUACGUUCCCGGGCCUUGUACACACCGCCCGUCACACCAUGGGAGUGGGUUGCAAAAGAAGUAGGUAGCUUAACCUUCGGGAGGGCGCUUACCACUUUGUGAUUCAUGACUGGGGUGAAGUCGUAACAAGGUAACC
rnacentral:rRNA from 1 species